GACGAACGCUGGCGGCGUGCUUAACACAUGCAAGUCGAACGGUAAGGCCCUUUCGGGGGUCCACGAGUGGCGAACGGGUGCGUAACACGUGGGUGAUCUGCCCUGCACUUUGGGAUAAGCCUGGGAAACUGGGUCUAAUACCGGAUAGGACUACGCGAUGCAUGUCGUGUGGUGGAAAGCUUUUGCGGUGUGGGAUGGGCCCGCGGCCUAUCAGCUUGUUGGUGGGGUGAUGGCCUACCAAGGCGACGACGGGUAGCCGGCCUGAGAGGGUGUCCGGCCACACUGGGACUGAGAUACGGCCCAGACUCCUACGGGAGGCAGCAGUGGGGAAUAUUGCACAAUGGGCGCAAGCCUGAUGCAGCGACGCCGCGUGGGGGAUGACGGCCUUCGGGUUGUAAACCCCUUUCAGCACAGACGAAGCGUAAGUGACGGUAUGUGCAGAAGAAGCACCGGCCAACUACGUG
rnacentral:rRNA from 1 species